ensembl:lncRNA
CUUCUGGUCUCAAAGGCAGGGCCAAACUCAUAUCUCUCAGGAGAGUGAGAGUGAUUCUCCCUCCCAGUCCCUCUGUGCACCCACCCCACCAAUGUGCCUGCUGAACCCAUUCAGCCUCCCAAUCCCAGCAACAGAAUCUCAGACAAAAGAGAAGCAGAGUCCAUUCUUUAUUAGUGUUGGGGUCCCUGGCACACACCCCCCCCAUUCCCUUCCAUCUACCCUCCUUUCCCGCCUCUUCUUUGUCCUGGCAUCUGUCCAUUCGAGGCUGGGCCCCGGCGCCGGGGCCUCUCCACAGCUGCGUCAGGUCCAAAUGUCCAGCCCUCCCAGGCCUCAAGGCAGCGGAGGAGCUGAUGUGGCAUUUCCCUGGUUGGCCGGAACCAGGAGGGACAGCACCACAGGGGGCAGUGAAGGCCUUUCAGGGGUUCGAGUGGGGUGGGGAGGGUGCCUGAGGGGCUCACCUGUCACACACGGUCCUGAGUGUGGAGGAAGACGGUGGCGGGCGGCGGCGGCGUGGUCUCCGAAGCCCACAGUACACUCAUCCAUAAAGUAGGAAACACUACACCCUCCAGUGCUGUUAGUAGUGCUUUCUACUUUAUGGGUGACUGCACUGUCUGUCUGUCCGUCUGCGGGUACUCUUCAGGCCGCCCGCUCCUCCUCCUGACUCCUGCUUCAAGAGCCCCUCAGCCCUCCCCGUGGCUUCCCAAGACCCCAACACCCUUCUCCGUAGCCCCGAAAGGGCCCUGACUCCUUCGCUGCCCGGGAACUCCCCAGGCAGGCGCCCAAGGCUAUUGCAACGGAGAUGGUAGCCAUAUUGGGCGGCGGGAGACACUUAGUGCCUCUCACUGACACCACAUCCCACUUUUCAGCCUCUGCCCACCCUCUGCCGUUCCCACCCUACUCUCUGGCCCUUGUCCCUUGAAACCUUGAACCCCUCUUUCUUCAUCUGGGGGCCAGGAGCCAUUUUACCUUCCUCAUCUAGAGAGAAGUCAAGGCCCAGGAUUUUGAAGAGUUGUGCCACUAUGAAGGCCAGUAGAUCUGAGCGUUAUUGCACCUUUUUGCCUAGAGCUUUGCUAGUAAGCCUUGGCACCCAAGCCCCUGAAGCCUCCCCGAAAGCUUCUCCACCCAGGGCCCGAAACCCCAACCCCUCAUUGCCCCUUGAGGCCCAGAGUCGAGGAGCCCGAUUGGGGCUGAAGUGAAAGUUCGGACCCUUACCUGAUGCUGCAGGGCUGAAGGGAGCAAGUCCUGCGCUCCAGGCUCCCAAGUGGGGUUCCCUUCAGGGCGGGCAGGGCUUAUAACCCCGAGGCCACGUGGGCCAGAUCUCAGGGCGCCCAACGGUCUUGGAGCCCGCCCCCACACCACAGCGGAGAUUAGCGCCCCUCCCCUCCCAGGGGAGGACAGACUGACAGGAAACCAGAGACGAGGCUGGGUAUUGGCGGGAGGGGGGCUGAAGAGACCAUCUCACACACCCUGGGCAGGUGGCUUCCGGGACCCCGGGCCUGCCCUUCCCCCAUGGCACCAGCUCCAGGGGAUGAUUCAAGUGUCUGAGACUGACUCAGGGCACAGAGUGACUCCAGGAGGCAAGGACUCCCUCUCAAGACCUUCACCCAGCGAUGACUCCCAGCUCUGCUGGGUCUCAAACCAGAAGAAACAGAACAAGGCCAGAGACACAAUCAAGGAUGAGGAAGGGGCCAGGCCUGGGAUGAGGAUGCAGAGACAAUAAGAACCACCCAGCUGCCUGCUGCCUGAGUUCCUCGUGAUGAGAGAAAUUAAACCCUGGAUGAUGGUCAAUGGCCGAGAGAAGAGGUGGCUGAGAGAGGAGGCCUCUCUUUGUGGAGGAGACAGGAGUUCAAGUGGAUUCUUCAAACUCUGCCCCUUUGUGGAUUCCUCACAUCCCAGCGACUCCUGGAAAAGUGGAAGGUGAAGGGUGGAAAGAACAGAGCGCUCUGUGAGGACGGCCCUGUGAGCUCUUCUGGGCUGUUUCUUCAUUCACCUCCACGGAGCUGGGGGGAAGGGCAGCAGCUGAGGCAUCUAGAGAACUUUAUAUAACACAUUCAAUCUGAGUCUCAUUUGAUCAUCAUGCUGACCCAGUGAUGUAAACGAUGGUGUCCCCAUCUCAGAGAUGAGGAACCGGAAACUCGCGAGGUUAAGUUUCACCUUCCUGAAAAUCGGCCAACAGUCUGCAUUUCGUUUCUGUCCCCCUAAGAGACACUAUUCAAAGUGCUCCCAAAAGGACCAGGCCUGGCAGACUUCAGAGGGGAUACUCAACAGAUGGUGGAGAUGCAGGCUCACAAACCCAGAGAAGCGGGUUGGAAAAAGCAGUGGGGGGAACUCAAGGCAGACUUCCUGCCUCCAGGCUUGUGGGUGAGGGGGCAGAGGGGUCUAACAGGUGACCAAGUGGUCUGCAGAAUCUCUCCCACAGCGAAUGGCCACCCAGCCCCUUCCCUCAGAGCCUAGUAGGCAGUCAGGUGGGGGAGGGCUGGCCACGCAGGCCAGGGUCCCCCAGCAGCCACAGCAGAAGCAGCAGCAGCAGCAGCUCACAGCACUGGAGCCGUUAAAAAGUGACUCAACCAGAAAGUGCUUUUGAAGCGACGCCCGCCAGGGCCCCAGAGCCAAACCUCAAAAAGAUGAAGUGAGAGAGACAGGCCUGCGGGGGCUGGGCUGGGGGUGGAGGCCCGGCCUGGAGCCGGCCUGGCCAAAUAAGGGCAAAUGCUCCCAGGCCAGCCAAUGGGGUGCAGGCAGCCACGUCAUGGGGCUGUGGCUGGAGGUGGGGUGGAGGGAGGAGGUGAGAGGCCUGAGGCAAAAUGGGUGUGGGGGACGAGCAGGGGCACAAGCCCUCCAGGAAGGGUCAAGGGUGAGUGAGCCCAGGGAGGUGUUGGGGCCUUCAUCCCCAAAGACGUGGUGCUGAAGUCAGUAGACCCACACCCCCAAGAGCCCCACCUGCAGGCUGGGACUCAAGGGAGCAAAAGGAAGACAAGGAGGACCCCCUCACUCCUGCCUGGUUAUGGGCCCUAGAUCCCCACAGGCCGGGGCAGAACAAAAGGGAGGGCCAAAUGAAAGGGAGGCCAUAGGACUAAAACACCAGUGCAGGCUUGCCUGGCCACUGACCUUGGGCAAAUAACAUAACUGAAACUCAGUUUUUUCAUCUAUGAAAGGGGAAUAAUGCCUCAUAGGACAGUAUUGAGGGUCAAAUGCAAUGAUGGAGGUGGCCAGUUUUGAAUCUGGUAAAUGCCAUACUAAUAUAUUAUUAUCGUAGAAGCGCUGGCCCAGGGCUGCUUCUCAUUCAUAUUCUUGCCUCCCAGUUGCUGUUAAAGAUCUCUUUGCAGGGACACCAUGUGGUUCCCAAUUCUGGCCUCUGGUGUCUAUAAUGAGGGAGGGGAGGUGCGGGGGCCAGAGGGGUCCUUCCAAUCUAAGCUCAGCCCCUCCUGCUGCAGAAGCAGAACAGACACGCUCUCCUUGGGCUCAUUCACCAGGGACAUGAAGUGCCAACCUCAACCUCCUCCAUCCCCUUAUCUUCCUGCCUGGUUCUACUGGGCUCCAGACCCCGCCCCCAUCUCCCUGCUCCCCUGGGGUGCAGGGCUGAGGAAGUGAGUCUACUCAGCUGCCCAGAGAAAGUGCCAGUGCUGGAGCUGCCUGCACAGGGUGGGGGCAGCUGCUGGCUUCUCCCAGGGCCUGUGAUCACUCCCUCAGGCCUCCCCAGCCCCUGCUGGGACCACAAGCCCAGGAAGAAGGCUGGGCGCUGGCUGCCACCCUCUUCGUGGAGUUCUUUCUCUCUCCCAAGCAUGGAUUUGCAUGUACCCCUCUGCCCUCUGCUACUCAAGCCCCCAGAGACAAGGUGACAGUUAAACCCCUCUUCCGGCUAGUGGCCCCAGAGCACUCACUUCCUUCCAGGUAUUUUCCGGGACGGGGGGAGGGGUUGAAAGGGUGGCAGUUGCUGGGUUUGGGGAAGAAGGAAUGAGGACUCCAUUCUGGAGAGAAGCUGGGUUCCCCCACCCUGGUGCCUGAAGCUGUUCCUUACCUUCCCUCAAGUUCUCUCCGUAGCACAAGAGUUCAGUUUGGAGGAGGGAGAGUGCACAGUCAGGAGGCGCACAGGAGUUCUUGAAAUGGGCCUGCUAUCUGACUUCUUACAUGCCCAGGCCUCCCUCCGCUGUGGGGUGGACUCCCCAAGGAAAGUUUGGGCUUCAAGUCCUCUGUCCAUGACCCCAGAAUACCUGCCCCCAACUCUGGGGCGAGUGUUGAGAAUAGGAGAGCGGAGAUCUAGAGGGGAGAUGUUUUCCAUCAUAUUUCUCAAAGGAUCUGGCAUCCUGGUGCCAGCAGCACUGAGCUCUUUUCUCCGCACUCAGUUCCUGCUUCCUGCAAUCUUACAGCAAAGAGAAACACAGCAAUCUGUAGGCAAAAGGCGCUGAGCCAAGCAGU